AUUUGGAAAGAAUUCUGCCGUAAACACGGCACUGUGUUCAAAGGAAAGCUAGACCAUCGCCGAAUUUGUUCUCGGCAUUUUGAUGCAUCAUGCUUCAAGGAUCCGUUUGAUUUCAGAGAUACUGCAUCGUAUGAGAAUAGCAGGAGAAACUAUGAGUGAUAAAGAUAAGGUGGUAUCAAUUUUAAUAGAUGGGAUGGCGUUAAAACCUAUGCUUGACUAUCAUGCACGAACAGAUAGAUUCCACGGAUUACCGACUGUGGAAACUGCACGGAGCCAGUAGUAUGAAAAUAAUGAUCCACAGGUUUUAGCAACAGAAAGCGUUACUGUUAUGGUGAGGAGUAUCAAUACAAACUUUAAGCAGGUACAAUUAUCAUAUUUAAUAAAAAUAAAUUGAAUAACUAUUUUGUUUGUUUACAUACAGGUCAUCGGCUACUUAUUUGCCAAUGCGACUUUGGGCAGUGAUGUGCAAAAAGAGAUUGUUAGUGAAGCUGUUAGGAAAAUGAUUGCUAUCGGAUUUCACCCCGUUUUAUUAAUAAUGGAUCAGCAUCCUACAAAUGUAAAAAUGGCUGAAAGUCUGGGAGCCACAUAUGAAAAUCCCGUUUUCAAAGUGGAUGAAAUACCAAUUGUUAUAAUGAUCGAUAAUCCUCAUUUAAUUAAAUCAGCAAGGAACAAUUUGUUUGCCAACAAUUUGUUAAUUGAUGGUAAAAUAAUAUCGUUUAAAUAUAUAAAUGAAUUAUACAAUUUGGACAUUGAAAAUGUCCCUCGGUUGGCACCACGAUUGACGAAAAAAGCAGUAUUGUUACCUGGAUUUUCAAAAAUGAAUGUAAGCCACGUUGAGUAGAACCGUCUCAAAAGCUCUCCAAGCGUAUGUUGAAAUGGGUAGCAUGAGCAGCGAAGUAAUUCCCAUGAUAGAGUUCAUAGACCUGAUGGACAGCUUGUUCGAUACUUUUAACUCUCGUUUUGAACAUGAUAAGCUAAAGCCUCUACGAUCUGCUAUAUGCGAUAAUAGCGAACAUUGGGAAUUUCUCGUUAAAACAAAAAAUAUUCUUGAGAAAGCCAAGUUUAUCCCGAAAUCGUGCUUCGAUACCUCAACGGCAUUGGAUGAAGCUCAAAAUCUGCUCACAGCUAAACAGAGAUUCCCUCCAUUUAUGAAAGGAUUCAUUCAGAACAUAAAUGCGAUUCGACUGCUGUGGGAUAUUUUAAAAACAAAAUUCAAUUUCCUCGAUCUGUGUACUAAUUGUAUCUGUCAAGACCCACUGGAGAAUGAAUUUGCUAAAGUUUAGCACGGCAAUCAAAUAUAAUGGGGUGGAAAGA